GAUCAUGGCUCAGGAUGAACGCUAGCGGCAGGCUUAACACAUGCAAGUCGAGGGGCAGCACGAGGUAGCAAUACUUUGGUGGCGACCGGCGCACGGGUGCGUAACGCGUAUGCAACCUACCCAGAACAGGGGGAUAACACUGAGAAAUUGGUACUAAUAUCCCAUAACAUCAUAAGGGGCAUCCCUUUUGGUUGAAAACUCCGGUGGUUCUGGAUGGGCAUGCGUUGUAUUAGCUAGUUGGUG
rnacentral:rRNA from 1 species